rnacentral:rRNA from 1 species
GAUGAACGCUAGCGGGAGGCUUAAUACAUGCAAGUCGAGGGGUAACAGUGGAGCUUGCUCCAGCUGACGACCGGCGCACGGGUGAGUAACGCGUACACAAUCUGCCCUUAAGUGAGGAAUAGCCCUGGGAAACUGGGAUUAAUGCCUCAUAAUAUUCUAUCACCGCAUGACGAUAGAAUUAAAGCUCCGGCGCUUAAGGAUGAGUGUGCGUCCCAUUAGCUAGUUGGUAAGGUAACGGCUUACCAAGGCGACGAUGGGUAGGGGCGUGAGAGCGUGAUCCCCCACACGGGUACUGAGACACGGACCCGACUCCUACGGGAGGCAGCAGUAAGGAAUAUUGGACAAUGGGCGAAAGCCUGAUCCAGCCAUCCCGCGUGCAGGAAGACGGCCCUAUGGGUUGUAAACUGCUUUUAUUUUUGAGAAGAAAACCCCCUGAUUUAUCAGGGGCUGACGGUAUCUUAUGAAUAAGCACCGGCUAAC